AAAUGCAAGCGUCUAAUAACGACAUUUAUCAACCAAUUAAUAUAACUUUGAAUGCUGAUUUAACAUCUACUUUGUAAAUUUACACAUUAAUACAUUUACCAGAGAAAAUAUAUAAUAGAAAUCUAAUGAAUGCAGUGAAAUGAAUUCAGUGACUUCAGUAAUUUCCCAUAUAUCGCAAGGUGUACAAUGAUACUUGAAUCCGGACGUACUUAUUUUCGGAUAAAAAAAUGAUCCCAAGUUUGGCAGGAAAAUUACUGCGGAUGGACUGCUAUGCUAAGACCAGUCUUCUCCUUCUUAUUCUUGCCAGCAUCCUGUUCACGCUGUCGUUGAUCACAUAUUCCUGGUUUGAGCUACCAGGAAUUGCCUGGUAUGGACCUUUGUGGGCGAAGUUUUGUGACAACCUAGGGGAAUGUCACUAUAUCCCAGCGUUUUUUACUAAGGAACCAGUAUUUUACCACGUCCUGCAGUUGAUGUGUAUGUUUUCCGUGGCAGCUAUAAAUGGUGCAAUAUAUUUGCUACUGGUUGAGAAAGCUGAUUUGAAGAUAUCUAGAUGGUUUAGGAAAACCAAAGGGCAAAGUAUAGCAAUGAUCUGCUUUAUGUCAGCUUUUGCUGUAUCAGGAAGCCUCUACUUAUUCUACCACAUCAUAGAUGACUUUCCUAGAGAGGCUGGUAUCUACCCAGAAAUGCACUGGGCGGCCAUGUUGGCCAGUCUCUCCUGUGGGCUUCAGUUCAUGGCUGGAUUAUUCAUGCUCAACUCUUGACUAGAACCUCAGGGCUUACUCUGCAAGUCCCCAAAUAGGCCAAUGGCUGCAAAUAUUGCCAAGGAAAUGUUUUAGCCAAGGGAAGCCCUAAAUCUACUGAAUCGAGCCAUUGUUUGAUUCCUUCUCUGCAACCACCAAACUUGUGGAGUUUGAGGAGUGUUUGCUAGUUUGCCAUCAACUUGCCAUUUUCGGAUCUGAUUGUAACCAGGUUAUAAAAUAUGUGUUGCAUAAGGAUCUGAUGAAAUUAUCUUUUUUGCGACCUCUUGGUCAGCCAAUAAGAGAUUUGCUUUCAUUAUUUGAAAGUAAAAGAAGAAAGUGGUAUUGUACAAAAUUGUGCACGUUGGAAAUCUACGCAUUCUUCAAUUUUAAGAGAAAAGAAUUAAUGAUACAAAAUUUAUUUGUUUUAUGCACAUUGUCACGUUUUCCGCACUUAGUUAAUGAUACUGCAGUUGGGACUUAUCUAUGUGUUUGCCAAAACAUUUGACAUGGAUAAUUUAAUACCAAAGAUCUCUUGAAAUAACCACUUAUAUCUUUCAAAUUGUCCAUAUGAUUAUCGUUUUCUGUUUAAUGCAUGCACUGUAAUGAUCAAAAUCUUGCUUAAUUAGCAUUUCUUAAAUAUCAUGAGUUGUUCAAAUUUUCUCGUUGAAUGUCAAAAUAAUCAAUUUAGUUUAAUGAUUAAUUGAUAAAAACGCUUAUGCAUGGACAUACAGACUUGACAAUCUGUUCUGCAAUUUAACUUUUGAUCUCUUGUUGACCUCUAUGUAUGACUGUGAUCCUAUUGGCUGUGUGCAUGAUACAUACUCAUACAGUUGAAACACAGGUGGUUAGCGCGUGGCUAUGAUAUUAUUUAGUUAAACAUCAUUUUGAAUGAAAAAUGAUCAAAUUAUAAUGAAAAAUCAACUUCUCUGAAGAAAACAAUUUUCAUUAUUGAAACAAAAUAUUUGUUCAUGUCAGUGUAAGAUCGUUGUUAUUUCACUCGUGAUCAUAUGUUCUAUGAUCACUCGUGAAAUAACAAACGAUCUUACACUGACGUGAACAAAUAUACUCUAUUAUUUUCUCAGAAAAUCUAUGGGCAUAUAUCAAAUUUUGGAGGCCAAGGGCUAGUGAUAUCCCCGAUUUUCAUUCCUGUGAUUAUGUUGUUAUACUUUAUUAAACUAUAAUAAUAUUUAAUAUGUUGUGAUGUACGCAAAACUGUAUAUUAAAUGCACUGCAAAUUUUUAUGCAUUGUUGAUAAGUUUUGUUGCUGCAAAAUUGUUAUUAAAUAUGUUUUUAUAUCAUUAUCAUUAUAGACAAAAUCUUGUGUACUCCAGCUUUUACAGGUUACUAUUAUUGUAUCCGAACCGGUUUUUAUCAAACUUUUUUACUGUUUUCUGAAAUUUUGCUUUAAGAUUAGGCAUUUUGUUUAUUUCCCAUUCUCGGAAGCAACAGUCUGCAUUGUUCAGUGUUCUAUGUGUACAUACAGGACUGUAUACAUGCUUAGUUCAUUGUUCUAUGUGUACAUACACAACUGUAUACAUGCUUAGUUCAGUGUUCUAUGUAUUCAUACACGACUGUAUACAUGCUUAGGUCAGUGUUUUAUGUGUGUCAUACACGACUGUGUAAAUGCUUAGUUCAGUGUUCUAUGUGUACAUACAGGACUGUAUACAUGCUAAGUUCAGUGUUCUAUGUGUACAUACACGACUGUAUACAUGCUUAGAUCAGUGUUUUAUGUGUGUCAUACACGACUGUGUACGUGCUUAGUUCAGUGUUCUAUGUGUACAUAAAGGACUGUAUACAUGCUAAGUUCAGUGUUCUAUGUGUACAUACAGGACUGUAUACAUGCUAAGUUUAGUGUUCUAUGUGUACAUACAGGACUGUAUACAUGCUUAGUUCAGUGUUUUAUGUGUCAUACACGACUGUGUACAUGCUUAGCUCAGUGUUCUAUGUGUACAUACAGCACUGUAUACAUGCUUAGUUCAGUGUUCUAUAUGUACAUACACGACUGUAAACAUGCUUAGUUCAGUGUUCUAUGUGUAUACCUGACUGUAUACAUGCUUAGUUCAGUGUUCUAUGUGUACAUACACGACUGUAUACAUGUACAUGCAUAGUUCAGUGUUCUAUGUAUACAUACAUGACUGUAUACAUGCUUAGUUCAGUGUUCUAUGUAUACAUACACAACUGUAUACAUGUACAUGCAUAGUUCAGUGUUCUAUGUGUACAUACCCGACUGUAUACAUGCUUAGUUCAGUGUUCUAUGUGUACAUACCCGACUGUGUACAUGCUCUAUGUAUACAUACCCGACUGUAUACAUGCUUAGUUCAGUGUUCUAUGUAUACAUACCCGACUGUAUACAUGCUUAGUUCAGUGUUCUAUGUGUACAUACACAGCUGUUUGCAUGCUAAGUUCAGUGUUCUAUGUAAACAUACAUGACUGUAUACAUGCUAAGUUCAGUGUUCUAUGUGUACAUACACGACUGUAUACAUGCUUAGUUCAGUGUUCUAUGUGUACAUACACAGCUGUUUGCACUUAGUUCAGUGUUCUAUGUAUACAUACCAGACUGUAUACAUGCUUAGUUCAGUGUUAUAUGUGUACAAACCCGACUGUAUACAUGCUUAGUUCAGUGUUCUAUGUAUACAUACCAGACUGUAUACAUGCUUAGUUCAGUGUUCUAUGUAUACAUACCCGACUGUAUACAUGCUUAGUUCAGUGUUCACAAACAGGACUGUAUACAUGCUUAGUUCAGUGUUAUAUGUGUACAAACCCGACUGUAUACAUGCUUAGUUCAGUGUUCUAUGAAUACAAACAGGACUGUUAACAUGCUUUGUUCAGUGUUCUAUGUGUACAUACACGACUGUAUACAUGCUUAGUUCAGUGUUCUAUGUAUUCAUACACGACUGUUUACAUGCUUAGUUCAGUGUUCUGUUUGUACAUACAGGACUGUAUACAUGCUUAGUUCAGUUUUAUAUGUGUACAUACAUGACUGUAUACAUGCUUAGUUCAGUGUUCUAUGUGUACAUACAGGACUGUAUACAUGCUUAGUUCAGUGUUCUAUGUGUACAUACAGGACUGUAUACAUGCUUAGUUCAGUGUUCUAUGUGUACAUACAGGACUGUAUACAUGCUUAGUUCAGUGUUCUAUAUGUACAUACAGGACUGUAUACAUGCUAAGUUCAGUGUUCUAUGUAUGCAUUCACGACUGUAUACAAUAAUUUGAGAUCUGAAGCAUUAUUUUGCCCUCGCUUGUAUAAACGAUCGUAUACAUGCUUAGAUCAGUGUUCUAUGUAUACACAUCCGACUGUAUACAUGCUUAGUUCAGUGUUCUAUGUGUAUAUACACAGCUGUUUGCAUGCUUAGUUCAGUGUUCUAUGUAUACAUACACGACUGUAUACAUGCUAAGUUCAGUGUUCUAUGUGUACAUACACGACUGUAUACAUGCUUAGUUCAGUGUUCUAUGUAUACAUACUCGACUGUAUACAUGCUUAGUUCAGUGUUUUAAGUGUACAAACACAGCUGUUUGCAUGCGUAGUUCAGUGUUCUAUGUAUACAUACACAACAGUAUACAUGCUAAGUUCAGUGUUCUAUGUGUACAUACACGACUGUAUACAUGCUUAGUUCAUUGUUCUAUGUGUACAUACACAGCUGUUUGCAUGCUUAGUUCAGUUUUCUAUGUAUACAUACCCGACUGUAUACAUGCUUAGUUCAGUGUUCACAAACAGGACUGUAUACAUGCUUAGUUCAGUGUUAUAUGUGUACAUACCCGACUGUAUACAUGCUUAGUUCAGUGUUCUAUGUGUACAAACAGGACUGUUUACAUGCUUAGUUCAGUGUUCUAUGUGUACAUACACGACUGUAUACAUGCUUAGUUCAGUGUUCUAUGUAUACAUACACGACUGUUUACAUGCUUAGUUCAGUGUUCUGUUUGUACAUACAGGACUGUAUACAUGCUUAGUUCAGUUUUAUAUGUGUACAUACAGGACUGUAUACAUGCUUAGUUCAGUGUUCUAUGUGUACUUACAGGACUGUUUACAUGCUUAGUUCAGUGUUCUAUGUGUACAUACAUGACUGUAUACAUGCUUAGUUCAGUGUUCUAUGUGUACAUACACGACUGUAUUCAUGCUUAGUUCAGUGUUCUAUGUGUACAUACAGGACUGUAUACAUGCUUAGUUCAGUGUUCUAUGUGUACAUACAGGACUGUAUACAUGCUAAGUUCAGUGGUCUAUGUAUGCAUUCACGACUGUACUAUACAUGCUUAGUUCAGUGUUCUAUGUAUGCAUUCACGACUGUAUACAAUAAUUUGAGAUCUGAAGCAUUAUUUUGCCCUCGCUUGUAUAAACGAUCGUAUACAUGCUUAGAUCAGUGUUCUAUGUAUACACACCCGACUGUAUACCUGCUUAGUUCAGUGUUUUAUAUGUGUACAUACACAGCUGUUUGCAUGCUUUGUUCAGUGUUCUAUGUAUACAUACACGACUGUAUACAUGCUAAGUUCAGUGUUCUAUGUAUGCAUUCACGACUGUAUACAAUCAUUUGAGAUCUGAAGCAUUAUUUUGCCCUCGCUUGUAUAAUGUUAAAUAGUUUUUUUCAGCUACAAACCUUUUUUUCAAAUUUAGGUAAAGUUUUUUUAUUUACGUGCUAUGCAGGUAUCCUUUCCCUUAAAGGCUCUAUACAUGUGACAAAUCCAGUUAUUAUGCAUAUCAACUGGUCUGAUUUUUACCGGAUUUAAGUUACUGUUGCAUAAAAACUGCUAAUAAAACAGCUUAGGUACAACGUUGUCGAGAAUUAUGGAAGAUAAACCCGUUUCAUAAUUCGAAGAAAUGUUUACAUUUUUGCAACUAACGUGAUGUGUAGCCUCAGAGCGGUGACAUACGCUAAAAAUAGCCGAAAGAAAAUUCAAUUUUAAUUCUAUUUUAAACAACUUUUAACCAGCAAAAAGUAACUUAUUAGAUCACUACAAACGUUUUAACCAUUUAGAAGAGACCUACUUUGUGGGUGAUACCGGAAAACGUUAAAAAUCAUCGUUAUAUUUUUGGUGACCUGAGUCACUUUCACUUUCUCUUUUCCGAGUAAACAGCAAGUAAAUAAACUGAUUGUUUGCAAACACCAUUGACUUGGAGGACACUUUAUUUUGAGCUCAAGACAAGUUGUAUUGCUCAUUUUUUAUUGUAAUGUCCAAUAGCAUAUAUAUAUAUAUUGUUUUUUGAUAAACUUUAUAAAUAAAAUAUGAAAAAAAUAUUUAAAAAUCGGUGAAUAAUUACGGAUCUUCACCUUUAAAGAGCCUUUAAUUGUAUGAGCAAUCAUUCAAAAUUUGAUCAAUUUUAAAGGACAUGUUUAUAAUUUGAAUACAAAGUCUUCUUCCAGUAAUUACAUGUAUUUUUAGCUCACCUGUGCACAACGUGCUCAUGGUGAGCUUUUGUGAUCGCCUUUUGUCCGUCGUCCGUUGUGCGACGUCAACAUUGGCCUUGUUCACUAUUUAGAGGCCACAUUGAUUGACCAAUCUUCAUGAAACUUGGUCAGAAGAUUGGUUUCAAUGAUAUCUUGGAUGGAUUCGAAAAUGGUUUUGGUUGCUUUAAAAAUAUGGCCACCAGGGGGCGGGGCAUUUUUCCUUUUAUGGCUAUAUAAGGCUAUAGUAAAACCUUGUUAACACUUUAGAGGCCACAUUUAUUGUCCAGUCUUCAUCAAAUUUGGUCGGAAGAUUGGUCUCAAUGAUGUCUUGGAUUAGUUUGGAAAUAAUUAUGUUUGCUUGAAAAACAUGGCUUCCAAGGUGCGGGGCAAUUUUUCUUAUAUGGCUAUAGUAAAAUCUUGUUAACACUCUAGAGGCCACAUUUAUUUUUCGAUCUUCAUGAAACUUGGUCAGAAGAUUUGACCCAAUAAUAUCUUGUUAUCUCAGGUGAGCGACUUUGGGCCUUUCAAGCCCUCUUGUUUUAAAUAAGCAUCACAUUUGUUUGCGCACUCAGUUAAAUAGUUAGGAUACACAUUUAUUAUACUAAAACUUAUUCUAAGCUGAAAUUGUUAAAUUGUUCUGCCAUUCGCUUUUACAUUAUAAGAUACGUUAGCAUAUUGGCAAACAACACGUAUAUUUUACGAAGACUGGUUGAAAUAUAUGAGACUAAUUUGACCAAGAUCUUUGCAAGAUACCAAAGUGACCAAACUGGGGUGGUAUUCCAUUAACAUCUUAAGUCAUUUCUUAAAUAAUUUCACUUAAGGCCAAAUAACAACCUUUUGCAUUUCUUUACUAAAUAAGAAAAACAUGUUUUUUUUGGUAUUCCUAAAAUAACAUUGAUAUAAUGAUGUUAUGUACAUGUAAAUCUUGAUGCCAAACUAUUGCAAAAUGAAAUGAAACACUUAAGAAAAUUUCCCAAUUUAAGGAAAAGAAUAUAAUUAAACUAAAGAUUCUUCUGGAAUACGACCCAGGAAGUUAAAGUGUUAAAAAAACUGUACAUAUAAUAUUAUUUAUUCUAAGAAAUAGUCCAUGUCAAUCAGGUUGAAUAAAAAAGAUUUGUUAAGUUGUUGUCAAUAUAUUGUACAUGUAUUGCUUAAGUAUUAGAACAAUUAAGUCCCCGGUGUGGUAGGUGAGUUGAGCCACGUGUGCUCUAAAAUCUGCUUGACGGUGGCGCGCUUUUUACAGUUGACCUCCAAAAUGCUGUGUACCAAGGCUUUGCAGUCUUCGCUGAUUUUC